AACACUCCGGCGCUGGAGCCGAUCCGUCUGCGCACCCGCGACAACGCCGAAGGACUCAGCGAAAAACUGCGCGAGACCAACUACAGAGGAGCCUGCGCGGUGGCCGCACACCAGGCUGGGCUGAACUCCAUCGAAGCGGGAGACGAGCUGAUCCGCAAGACUUUAGCCAUUUAGGAAUAUGCCAAUGAGGCAAACAGAACACAUAAUUGACACACGAAUAUGAAACAGAUUGAAGACCUUAUCGCGAUUUCCCGGAAGUUCGGACAGGACUCCAGGUUCGUGAUCGCCGGAGGUGGCAACACUUCCUACAAGGAUGAGAACAGACUUUGGGUGAAGGCCAGCGGCCACGCCCUCGCAACGAUAACAGAGGACGGGUUUGCCGUCCUUGACAGAGCCCUUCUGAACGAGAUGGGCGAAAAGGCUUACAAUGCGGACACGGCGAUACGUGAGGAACAGGUCAAGAACGACCUCUCCGUGGCCUGUAUAACAAAGGACAGAAGGCCUUCAGUGGAGACAUCCCUGCACAACUGCAUGGGAUUCGCCUUCGUGGUUCACCUCCACCCUACCCUUGUCAACGGCCUGAUGUGCUCGGUGAACGCCGAGGCCGCGUGCAAGGAGAUAUUCCCAGAUGCCCUUUACAUUGAAUAUACCGACCCGGGCUACACGCUUUUCAAGAAGGUCUAUGACCGGAUAAAGGCCUACAAGGCUGAGAAAGGCAAGGAACCCCAGGUGAUAUUCCUUCAGAAUCACGGAAUAUUCGUGGGUGGGGACACCACCGCUGAGAUUGAGGGAAUAUAUUCAGAAGUCCUUGGAAAACUUGAGGCCAAGGUCGCCGCUCUUCCGGAGGGUGACACGGCUGUCUCGGAGACAGUUACGGAUGUCGUUCCGGCGAUCAGGCAGAUGCUCUCGCGCUCCGGAAGGGGCUUCAAGACCUUGAAAGUCACGAAGAACGCCCUUGUGGACUUCUUCAUUGAUGGUUGUUCAGUCACUUCGACAGGCUCAGUGACUGAUUGUCCCGGAAAAUCCGGUUUCGACAAGAUUGCCAAGCCGUUCACCCCGGACAUCAUCGUGUACUGCAAGAGCUCGUACAUAUUCAUUGAAGCCGAGUCAGAUGAAGAGAUUUUAAAGCAGGCCGAGGAGGAAAUCGAGGCUUUCGUAAGCGGGAAAGGCUACACGCCUAAGGUAUUGCUCAUCAAAGGAAUCGGACUCAUCGCCGUGGGAGACAGCUCCAGGAACGCACAGAUCAUCACCGAUGUGUUCACGGACGCGAUGAAGGUAGCGUUCUAUGCGCAGAGCUUCGGCGGAGAGCAUCCGAUGGAGCGGGCUUGGAUCGACUUCAUCGACAACUGGGAGGUGGAGAACUACCGCCGCAAGGUGGCCUCCAGUGCAUCCAAAGGCCGUGUGGAAGGCCGCACGAUCAUCGUGACCGGAGCCGCCCAGGGAUACCACCCUUGAUGUAUCGGAAUUCUAACCGUAGGAGUAACGAAACUCGGGACAGUGUCAGGCGGGCAGUUUGACUGGGGCGGUCGCCUCCCAAAGAGUAACGGAGGCGCCCAAAGGUUCCCUCAGCGCGGCCGGAAAUCGCGCGAAGAGUGUAAAGGCAGAAGGGAGCUUGACUGAGAGCCAAACACGGCGAUCAGGUACGAAAGUAGGGCUUAGUGAUCCGGUGGCAUCCAAGUGGAAGGGCCAUCGCUCAACGGAUAAAAGCUACCCUGGGGAUAACAGGCUAAUCUCUCCCAAGAGUCCAUAUCGACGGGGAGGUUUGGCACCUCGAUGUCGGCUCAUCACAUCCUGGGGCUGAAGUCGGUCCCAAGGGUUGGGCUGUUCGCCCAUUAAAGUGGUACGUGAGCUGGGUUCAGAACGUCGUGAGACAGUUCGGUCCCUAUCCAUCGCGGGCGCAAGAGAUUUGAAGGGGGCUGCUCCUAGUACGAGAGGACCGGAGUGGACGAACCAAUGGUGUACCAAUUAUCUCGCCAGAGGUAUAGUUGGGUAGCUACGUUCGGAAAGGAUAAACGCUGAAAGCAUCUAAGCGUGAAACCAGCCUUAAGAUGAGAUCUCUCAUAGAGUAAUCUAGUAAGACACCUUGGAGAAGACGAGGUUGAUAGGUCGGGAGUGUAAGUACAGUAAUGUAUUCAGCGGACCGAUACUAAUAUGUCGAGGGCUUGACUU
rnacentral:rRNA from 1 species